GACGAACGCUGGCGGCGUGCUUAACACAUGCAAGUCGAGCGGUAAGGCCCUUUCGGGGGUACACGAGCGGCGAACGGGUGAGUAACACGUGGGUGACCUGCCCUCAGCUCUGGGAUAAGCCUGGGAAACCGGGUCUAAUACCGGAUAUGACUCCAUGACGCAUGUUGGUGGGGUGGAAAGCCUUGUGCGGCUGAGGAUGGGCCCGCGGCCUAUCAGCUUGUUGGUGGGGUGAUGGCCUACCAAGGCG
rnacentral:rRNA from 1 species